rnacentral:lncRNA from 1 species
UUUUUUUUUUUUUUUUUUUCUGUGUAGGCAGAUUCCUUUCAUUUGUUUACUGAGGGAUAAUCACCUUGUUUGAGACUGAGAAAAAAUAAAAAAGAAUGCCUUUAGGAGUUUAGAAAAAGUGGUAUGCACAGCUGACUAAAGGUCAACUGAUAUAAUGCCUAAAAACAGGGUCAAGCCAAGUCCCUGGAAAGCCCAGAAAAAUCCAGAAUUAAUUCUCAACAAGAAACAGCAAAAGUCUCCCCAAAUAAAUACAAGGUCCACUUGACAGACUAUAAAACACCUUUGAAAACAGUGGUUUUAAAAGUAGAACCUUGAAAAGUUCUUCUGCUACAUUAAGUGGGAAAAAAGCAGAUACGAAAUUUUAGUAUGUACGUUACAACCAUGUGAAAACGUACCCCUAAUGAAGACGGUAAGGCUUACAUUAGGGUAUGAGAGCCUUUUUCCAUGGGGUAGGAGUUCCCUGCUUUUGUAAUAGAGGUGUGUGUGGGUUUCAGUUUGAUUAGAAAGAUGGAGGAAGCCAUUUAAAUAGAUUUUCAAGGAAAUAAUAAAAUUUUGCUCUGGGAUGCUUUGGAGGAGGCAAAGGUGGUGAGGAGUCAUGGUGGUAUCUUGAGAGACCAGCAGGCUGCCUGGGGUGAGGCCAGGCCAGGGGAGAGCUGAGCUGGGGAGAGAAGGCAGGGCCCUGAAAGGACUUGGGACCCGACCCCAUGGGCAAAGGGAGGGCACUGUGGUCUUUGAAGAGGAAUGGCCUGGUCCAAGCUGAGUUCUUCACUGUUGGCUCUCGGGCAGGAGACCCUCAGCGCUCAGUGCAGAAGCUAGGCUCUGAGUCUGGACAGGAAAUGAAAAGCAGGGACAAGAAGCCUGCACAAGGGAGGAAGAACCACACUUCUCUGCUUCCUGGAAAAAAAAGUCACUCAGCGAUCUGGACAAAUAGCCUUGGUGUCACCUGCCCACUCAGCUGAUCCUAGAGAAGCUGCCUGGAGAGGUGCUGGGAACCGUUUGUGCUAACACACAAAAACGCCCAGAUGCCAACAGAACACAGAAAGAGGUUGGUCCUAGUGAAAUUCUGAGACUUGGGGCAGAACUAUAAAGAAAAGCCAGACUUUUCAACUUAUAGAAACCCCAACUUAGUGAGGAAAUGAGUUGGAGGAGAAAUAGAAGCAGGCUUAAUGUGAGACAUGCACUCUGAGUGUUCAGGAGCAUCUCUCAUUUCCCUGCUCCUAAAGAUGCUUCAGCAACAGUGAGUGUGUUUUUCUCUUUCCUACUCCUGAUACUGGGCCUCUUCUGACCAGCCUUCCCCAUCCUCUCCCUGCACUGCACAUCUGCUGAAUGCUGGUCAUCCCAUAAUAAGACAGGUAGACUUGACUGCACAAGUACAGCACUGUCUUCCCGUGGUCUCUAUUUUUCCUUGUGCAUCCCAUCAGAAGAAAACAAACCAAGGGGAGUUCCUGUCGUGGCGCAGCAGAAAGAAAGCUGACUAGUAUCCAUGAGGACACAGGUUCGAUCCCUGGUUUCACUCAGUGGGUUAAGGAUCCAGCGUUGCCAUGAGCUGUGGUGUAGGUCACAGACGUGGCUUGGAUUUGAUGUGGCUCUGGCUAUGGCAUAGGCUGGCAGCUAUAGCUCCAAUUCCACCCCUAGCCUGGGAACCUCCAUAGCUGCACAUGUGGCCCUAAAAAGACAAAAAAAAACAAACAAGCUAUGUAUACCUGCAGUGUGUGUUACACAGCAAUUAUGUAGUGAUUACUAAGCCUGUCUAUUAAGCCCUAGUAAAUCUGUCUUCAUUUUUAAAAAGUUAAUAAGACAUGGAUCAACUUUUGACACUUUCAUCUUAUGCUCCAAGCAAUGGUCUUUGGGCCAUGAGAACAGCCACAUUUACCCAAAGGGCAAGGGAUGGGAAAUCUACGGGCGCGCCCAGGUUGGACUGGACCCGGCCCUUCUGUCGUGUGGGAAAGACCCUCUUUCAAGGAUGCACCCGAGUUUUCUCGGAAGCCAGCCGAGUGGGCAGUCACUGUUUGCUGCUGCAAAUUCUCCAGUCCAGGCACAUCUCAACAACAUAAAGGUUCCAAACUGCUCGUGUCCCUAUUUCUUCCAUUCAAGACAGCCUCAACCACGAGCAAGUUUUCCAUCAGCCUGUUUCUGGAUGGAUUUCAUAACCAUGGAUGAUCUCCACCCUGCUCCAACUGUCGUACUAGGAGUUAUAAAAUGCUGAUUUUCUAAUGUUUCAUUCUUUUUGCAUUCGUUAGCUGUGAUUUCUCCAUAAUUAACAACUUUCUCUCAUCAACUAUUUGAUGAUCUUCAAAUACAAUUUGUCCUAGAAAGGCAAGAUCAAAGGCUGGAUUGUUUCCCUUUAUUUUUCGGAGUAAUGAGGUGGUGUCCUAGCAACCUGCAAAGGUGAUCGAUUGAUUUUGGGAGUUGUUCUUCUCUUGGGCUGUCAUUCUCAUGAACUAUUUUCCAUUGGUUUAAUUUCAGUCUGCUGAAAUCAUCCUUUCUGAUGUUCAAACCACCCUAUCUUUGGCUCCUGUGUCCUUCUGAUUCCACCCCAGGGGUCUUUCUUAGCUUCCUUGCUUUCUGGUAUGACAAGAUGUCCCAUCUUGAAUGUUUCCUGCCCUAGACCUGGAACGAUCUAUUUCUUCUAGGAUGAGGUUCCUUUACUGUGAAAGUUAUUUAGGGAAUCCAAAUAUGAAUGUUAAGGAUACUCACUGCCACUGGAUUGUCUUUAUUUUGGUCCUUUUCUAAAUAAAGAGUUAGGAAACAUUUCCUUUUUAAAGAGAAAAACAGAAGUUCAUAUUGCUAUUUCCUAUUCGAGCUGAAUCUUAUACAGUCUACACUU